UUACGGCUCAGUAACACGUGGACAACCUGCCCUGAGACGGGGAUAAACCCGGGAAACUGGGUAUAAUACCCGAUAGAUCUCGAUUGCUGGAAUGCAUCGAGCUUGAAAGCUCCGGCGCUCAAGGAUGGGUCUGCGGCCUAUCAGGUAGUAGUGGGUGUAGCGUACCUACUAGCCUACGACGGGUACGGGUUGUGAGAGCAAGAGCCCGGAGAUGGAUUCUGAGACACGAAUCCAGGCCCUACGGGGUGCAGCAGGCGCGAAAACUUUACAAUGCUGGAAACAGCGAUAAGGGGACCUCGAGUGCCAGGUUACAAAUCUGGCUGUCGUGAUGCCUAAAAAGCAUUGCAUAGCAAGGGCCGGGCAAGACCGGUGCCAGCCGCCGCGGUAACACCGGCGGCUCGAGUGGUAACCGUUAUUAUUGGGUCUAAAGGGUCUGUAGCCGGCCGGAUAAGUCUCUUGGGAAAUCUGGCAGCUUAACUGUCAGGCUUUCAGGAGAUACUGUCUGGCUCGAGGCCGGGAGAGGUGAGAGGUACUUCAGGGGUAGGGGUGAAAUCUUGUAAUCCUUGAAGGACCACCAGUGGCGAAGGCGUCUCACCAGAACGGACCUGACGGCAAGGGACGAAAGCUAGGGGCACGAACCGGAUUAGAUACCCGGGUAGUCCUAGCCGUAAACGAUACUCGCUAA
rnacentral:rRNA from 1 species